rnacentral:rRNA from 1 species
GCCGCGAAUUCGCCCUUAGGGUUUGAUUAUGGCUCAGAUUGAACGCUGGCGGCAGGCCUAACACAUGCAAGUCGAGCGGUAACAGGGGAAGCUUGCUUCCCGCUGACGAGCGGCGGACGGGUGAGUAAUGUAUGGGGAUCUGCCCGAUAGAGGGGGAUAACUACUGGAAACGGUAGCUAAUACCGCAUAAUCUCUAAGGAGCAAAGCAGGGGAACUUCGGUCCUUGCGCUAUCGGAUGAACCCAUAUGGGAUUAGCUAGUAGGUGAGGUAAUGGCUCACCUAGGCGACGAUCCCUAGCUGGUCUGAGAGGAUGAUCAGCCACACUGGGACUGAGGCACGGCCCAGACUCCUACGGGAGGCAGCAGUGGGGAAUAUUGCACAAUGGGCGCAAGCCUGAUGCAGCCAUGCCGCGUGUAUGAAGAAGGCCCUAGGGUUGUAAAGUACUUUCAGUCGGGAGGAAGGCGCUGAUGCUAAUAUCAUCAGCGAUUGACGUUACCGACAGAAGAAGCACCGGCUAACUCCGUGCCAGCAGCCGUGGUAAUACGGAGGGUGCAAGCGUUAAUCGGAAUUACUGGGCGUAAAGCGCACGCAGGCGGUUGA